UCAAACCAACCCUAAUUUCUUCCCCCUCUCUCACUCUCCCGCCACCGUUCUCACUCUCACUCCCAAUUUCUUCUCAUAUGCCCAACAGCAACUAGAUAGAGUCUGGGAGCUUCCAGGGCAGAAUUUUAAUGUGAGUUUUGCACAUUAUGCGGGCCAUGUUACAAUCAAUAGGGAAGUCGGGAGAGCAUUAUUUUAUUGGUUCUUUGAGGCCGAUGAGGACCCUUCUUCCAAGCCUAUUGUUCUUUUGGUUCAAUGGAGGUCAAUUUAGUCUGACCCUUCCUUUUUUAAAUCAAUUUUGUUUAAAAUUCAAUUUUUUAUUUUGUUAAUGUUAAUUCAUUACUAUUAGCCUCCAGAAAUGUGCAAUUCAUUUUUUUCCCCUUUUGUUGAAUUUGUUUUAGAGUACUUAAAAUUUGUUAUGAUAUUGGGAGAUACAGACAUAGAAUCAUGUGAUUUUGCUCAUCAAAUUGUGAUAUUAUUUCUGAGCUAAAAGAGCAUCCUGAUGAUCCUUCUGGGCCAAUAUUAUUAGUUGAAAUUUCUAAAACGUUUUAUCAUUAGCUAUGAAAUUAGUUCAAGAAAUAUAGUGCUAUUUCUUCCCUGUUCUCAAUUAUAAACUUCAAUAACUUAUAUAAACUCCAUCUUGGAUUUGUACUCCUUUUCACUUUUUAGUUAGUUAUCAAAUUUGAUACUGCGGAGUUCUCUCCAUUUAUGUUAUUUCCAUUGUAAUUUAUUUUGGCGAGAUGUAAUUUGUAGCCAACGUGGAAACUUGUUUCUGACUCUUUAGCUAUGUUCAGGCCUAGAUGUUCAUCUAUUGCAUAUGGAUUAGCUGAGGAAAUUGGACCUUUCCAUGUUGAGAAAGAUGGAAAGACCCUUUAUUUGAAUCCUUACUCUUAGAAUAAACUUAAUUGAUAAAGGCAAGUUGUAUCCAAGACUGACUUUCGAAAGGUGGCGACAUUAAUCACGACAUUUUUAAGUGUUGGAUAUUUCAAAUCAUUCUCUAAUUCACAAAGUGAGUGAGGAGGAUAACAAACUUGGCAUUGGGAAGCAAUUUCCGGGAUUAAAUCCGAAAGCACUGAACAAUCCGGACCUGUAUUCAGGGAGUUGGGAUUUUGCUCAUAAAGUAAGGACCUCGAAAAAAUAUCUAUGGCUUAUGUUGUAUCUAAGAGCCGAUGCAACCAAGGGAUUAAACGUUGAAGACCAACUUGCUCCCUUUCAUCCUACAUUAAAAUUUACUAAAAAUAUGAUUUUAAUCCCCACUUGUAUCUCCUGCAUUAAAGAGAAAGCAAAUUUGAGUUUCUAGAGAAUUGUUUGUUGUUCGUUUGUAGGUUACAAAAUGAAAUAAAGAGCAAUGUGGGUCCUUGACAUGUGAUAUUUUAAGCAUACCUCUAAAACUUAAAUUUGUCCACUGUGUUGAUAGUAACUAUUAGGUAACUUGGGAUGCUCACAUAAUUUCGAUUAAGUAUUUUAUUGAUACUGUUUUUCGUUCUCUGGUUAUAAUUUUCCCUCGUCUCUAUACUAUGCUAAUUUUCUCAAGCUUUUGCUUGUCUUGCUAAAGUGAGAAGAGAGUGUAAUUUGCAUAACAAAUGACAUCAGUAAGUCUUCCUUAAUAAAUUGGACUAAUUUUUUGUAUUGCCGAAGGAAAAUUGGUUUAUUUCAAAGCUAUUAAAGACUUGAUUUUUUUGUCUGAGCCUUUGAUCUUGAGUUCUUGUUUAUCAUUUCUAUUAUCUUUGAUUGAAACGUGAAGAAAAGAGAUAUUGGCUCUUUAUUCCCUUAAUUGUUAUCAUGACUUGUGUGGUAAAGGUGGAUUGAAUAGUAGUGGAGAAUAAUCUAGUCAUGGACCAAACAUGCCCGCAAAGUUAGUUUUUUUUUUUGACUGUUUGAUGCAUAUAGUGAAUGCUUGGGAACCAAACAAUUUCUAUAGUGAAUGAACCAAUAUGAAGAAAACUUUACUACAAUGGACGUUUCUAUAAAUGUUUAAGAUGAACAUUAGGAUUUGUGAGGAUUGUUAGAGCCUUACCACUAUAACCUUUCCCAUAUAAUCCUUGAACCUUUCUUUGAAACUCUUCAUAUGGUCUGAAUAGCCCUGAAUUGGUGUUCCUCCUCUGAGAACAGGCAAUGAGUCGCAACCCAAUUAUAUAUAUUCUGUGCUGCGGCGACCUGAUCUAUCUGUGUAGCAAGGUCGGGAUUUUUGCUGAUCUCUUCAAGCACCCAUGGGGGUAGAGGAAUGCUGCAAAUGUAAAAACCAAUAUUGAUGAUCAUGACUAUCACAACUGGAUUACUAUUAUCAGAAAGGUACCGAAGUUUUAAUUGUUCUUUCCCAACCAUUUUUACUAUUUUAAGAAUAUAUAACAACAUGGAGAAUUGCAGCAUUGGUCCUCAACUAAUGGUCUUCAACCUUUAAUCCAUUUCAAGGUCGAUCUUACAUGUGAGUUUUCUGAAUCAUUGAAACUAAAUUCUCAUACUCGAUUUGAGUUUUCUGAGGACAAGCUUCUCUGUGACGAUCAUGAAUGUUGAAUUUACCCAUUGCAUUCAAAAGAUAGGUGCAGGCCAAGAGGAAAGUAAUGAGAAGAAUUUUUUAGAGCUAGCAAACCCAACGGUUUGAAGGCAACAAGUUGUAAAUUAUCUUCUUUUAUACAAUAAUUUUCUGUUGUUUAAGAGGAGUGUAAGAUGAUGUUUAUUUGAUGGGCAAUACGUCAAUCAAAACCUUUCUUUGAUUUA